rnacentral:rRNA from 1 species
CCUACGGGUGGCAGCAGUGGGGAAUCUUCCGCAAUGGGCGAAAGCCUGACGGAGCAACGCCGCGUGAUCGAAUGAAGGCCUUCGGGUUGUAAAGAUCUGUUGACAGGGACGAAUAAGCAAUGCGAAUAGUUUUGUGUAUGACGGUACCUGUUUAGAAAGCUCCGGCUAACUACGUGCCAGCAGCCGCGGUAAUACGUAGGGAGCAAGCGUUGUCCGGAAUUACUGGGCGUAAAGGGAGCGUAGGCGGGGAUGCAAGUGGGGGGUCAAAACUACCGGCUCAACUGGGAGUCGCACUCAAAACUGCAGCUCUGGAGUGAAGUAGAGGCAGGCGGAAUUCCUAGUGUAGCGGUGAAAUGCGUAGAUAUUAGGAGGAACACCAGUGGCGAAGGCGGCCUGCUGGGCUUUUACUGACGCUGAGGCUCGAAAGUGUGGGGAGCAAACAGGAUUAGAUACCCCGGUAGUC